UGCUGAAUUUAUUCCAGGAAAUAAGACAAAAAUAACAGUGAAGUAGUUUGAAUGGUUGAAUCAAACCAUUCUUCAUACUUUUUAUAUUUUCAGCUGAUCUCUUGAGGAACCACUUUGGGAACCACACAACAUUGGUGGGGUGACUUUGUCUCAAUAGGUGGCGCAAUACUCCUACUUUUUGAUUUGUCUUUAUGGCAGCUGGGGGUGAAACAACAGGUAGAGUGACACUGUCAACAUGUUUCCAGGAGCGCCUCCCUCCCCUGCUGGGCUGACAACCACAGAUGCAUGCGUGGAGCCCACUUUCUGUCUGCGGCUGGACCACUUGGCUCCUUCACAAAGGCUUUCUGGAAUAACAGAGCCAACCAGAGGAAAUGACAGCAUGAUCACAAGAGGUUUCCCUCACUCCCUCUAAAGCUGCCUACUGGGGGUCGAAAAGGGUGUGUGUCAUUGGGAUACUGGCAGAGGUGAAAGCUAAUUUUGAUGCAGUGGAAAUAACUGCAGUAAUAGUUCAGAAACAAGUGCAGAACUUAUUGCUGCCCUGAGAUGUGCAGACACUGAAGUUAUAGUUCAUAUUAGCUAUUCAGGCAACCAAGCCACGCUUUUAAAGUUCAGGGUUAUUUGAAUCCAGCAUAUCAAUGCAAUUGUGAAACCCAGGGUGAUAGGCUGGUAGGAGGAAAUGGAGUAAUUUACUUCAAAACUGUGCACCAGCUGAAGAAUUUAGAAGUAGAAAUAUAUUUUCUUGCUCUCCAGAGCAAUAAAAGACACCACUUUGUAAAUGUUUUGAAAA